rnacentral:rRNA from 1 species
GAUGAACGCUGGCGGCGUGCCUAAUACAUGCAAGUCGAGCGAACAGACGAGGAGCUUGCUCCUCUGACGUUAGCGGCGGACGGGUGAGUAACACGUGGAUAACCUACCUAUAAGACUGGGAUAACUUCGGGAAACCGGAGCUAAUACCGGAUAAUAUAUUGAACCGCAUGGUUCAAUAGUGAAAGACGGUUUUGCUGUCACUUAUAGAUGGAUCCGCGCCGCAUUAGCUAGUUGGUAAGGUAACGGCUUACCAAGGCAACGAUGCGUAGCCGACCUGAGAGGGUGAUCGGCCACACUGAAACGGGAACACGGUCCAGACCCCUACGGAAGGCAGCGGUGGGAAAUCUUCCGCAAUGGGCGAAGCCCUAACGAGGCAACGCCGGGUGGGUAAUGAGGGUCUUCGAUUCGUAAACCUCUGUAAUUGGGAAGGAACAAAUGUGUAGGUAACUAUGCACGUCUGAACGGAACCAAUCAGAAAGCCACGGCUAACUACGUG